UACGUAGGGGGCUAGCGUUGUUCCGGAAUCAUUGGGCGUAAAGAGCGCGCAGGCGGUCGUUCAAGUCGCGUGUGAAAGCCCCCCGGCUCAACUGGGGGAGGGUCACGCGAUACUGAUCGACUCGAAGGCAGGAGAGGGUAGUGGAAUUCCCGGUGUAGUGGUGAAAAUGCGUAGAUAUCGUAAGGAAGACCAGUGGGCGAAGGCGGGUCUCUGGACAGUUUCCUGACGCUGA
rnacentral:rRNA from 1 species